rnacentral:rRNA from 1 species
GGAUUGAACGCUGGCGGCAUGCCUAACACAUGCAAGUCGAACGGGAGUAGCAAUACUCUAGUGGCGGACGGGUGAGGAAUACGUAGGAAUUUGCCCUUAAGUGGGGGAUAACCCGGGGAAACCCGGAUUAAUACCGCAUGACCUCGAAAGAGCAAAGUGGGGGAUCGCAAGACCUCACGCUUUUGGAGAAGCCUACGUCGGAUUAGCUAGUUGGUGAGGUAAUGGCUCACCAAGGCGACGAUCCGUAACUGGUCUGAGAGGAUGAUCAGUCACACCGGAACUGAGACACGGUCCGGACUCCUACGGGAGGCAGCAGUGGGAAUAUUGGACAAUGGGCNCAAG